GGGAGGGAGGAGCUUGCUGGACAGAAACCUGACGGAAAGCACAUAGACAAAUCUGGAAGUAACUUCGGUUUCACCCCGCAGUCAGUGCCUCCGCGGAAUGAUGAGGGCACGGGGAUGACCCUGGAUCUCCAGGGGAGGUACCAUGCCCUAUGAGAGUGUUGGCAACCAUUGACCUCCAUGUUAAUCUUGCUCUGGAGGCGUGGAUCAUCUUCAUUUGUUGUACAUUCAUAAGAGUAGGAUCAUCAACUCGGUGAAAGAUGCUCUUUGGUCUGCCCUAAGCUUAUUGGUCUUCUAGCGCAAAGAGUUGGCCCCGAUCGAGUAUUGCAGUCUGGCAGAAUCCAAAGUCCAGGACUACGUGCCGAGGAAUGCACUAAAGCUUGGGGCAGCCGCUGCAGAGGAGCAAUGGGAAAAGUUCGCUGUUUAAGACCUUUCAGCCAUAGUGCACCGAGUGGCUGGGAAUUGUAUAGACCCCCUCGGGCUGAUGUACAUUGAAUGUAUGCAGUGAAUAUUACAUGUAUCACAGUUAUAUUGAAGCAUCUCAGAGUGCAACAUGAUCUAUGUAGAUAAUUUGAAUAUCACUGCAAUUUCUGUGGUAGCCAUUUUGAAAUGUUUUGUAAUGUUCUUUUACAUAUUUUAUGAAUAAAGUAUAUUUUUGCAAAUAAAAAACAUUCAGAAUA